rnacentral:rRNA from 1 species
UACGUAGGGUGCGAGCGUUAAUCGGAAUUACUGGGUGUAAAGCGCACGUAGGCGGCUUUCUAAGUCGGGGGUGAAAUCCUGGAGCUCAACUCCAGAACUGCCUUCGAUACUGGAGAGCUCGAGUCCGGGAGGGGUGAGUGGAACUGCGAGUGUAGAGGUGAAAUUCGUAGAUAUUCGCAAGAACACCAGUGGCGAAGGCGGCUCACUGGCCCGGUACUGACGCUGAGGUGCGAAAGCGUGGGGAGCAAACAGG